rnacentral:tRNA from 1 species
GUCAGAAUGGCUGAGGUUCUCUCAGGUAUUGAGAAUUCUGGUCUCCAGUUGGAGGCGUGGGUUCAAAUCCCACUUCUGACA